GCUAUACAUGCAAGUCGAGCGAACAGAUAAGGAGCUUGCUCCUUUGACGUUAGCGGCGGACGGGUGAGUAACACGUGGGUAACCUACCUAUAAGACUGGGAUAACUUCGGGAAACCGGAGCUAAUACCGGAUAACAUUUGGAACCGCAUGGUUCUAAAGUGAAAGAUGGUUUUGCUAUCACUUAUAGAUGGACCCGCGCCGUAUUAGCUAGUUGGUAAGGUAACGGCUUACCAAGGCGACGAUACGUAGCCGACCUGAGAGGGUGAUCGGCCACACUGGAACUGAGACACGGUCCAGACUCCUACGGGAGGCAGCAGUAGGGAAUCUUCCGCAAUGGGCGAAAGCCUGACGGAGCAACGCCGCGUGAGUGAUGAAGGGUUUCGGCUCGUAAAACUCUGUUAUUAGGGAAGAACAAAUGUGUAAGUAACUGUGCACGUCUUGACGGUACCUAAUCAGAAAGCCACGGCUAACUACGUGCCAGCAGCCGCGGUAAUACGUAGGUGGCAAGCGUUAUCCGGAAUUAUUGGGCGUAAAGCGCGCGUAGGCGGUUUCUUAAGUCUGAUGUGAAAGCCCACGGCUCAACCGUGGAGGGUCAUUGGAAACUGGGAAACUUGAGUGCAGAAGAGGAAAGUGGAAUUCCAUGUGUAGCGGUGAAAUGCGCAGAGAUAUGGAGGAACACCAGUGGCGAAGGCGACUUUCUGGUCUGUAACUGACGCUGAUGUGCGAAAGCGUGGGGAUCAAACAGGAUUAGAUACCCUGGUAGUCCACGCCGUAAACGAUGAGUGCUAAGUGUUAGGGGGUUUCCGCCCCUUAGUGCUGCAGCUAACGCAUUAAGCACUCCGCCUGGGGAGUACGACCGCAAGGUUGAAACUCAAAGGAAUUGACGGGGACCCGCACAAGCGGUGGAGCAUGUGGUUUAAUUCGAAGCAACGCGAAGAACCUUACCAAAUCUUGACAUCCUUUGAAAACUCUAGAGAUAGAGCCUUCCCCUUCGGGGGACAAAGUGACAGGUGGUGCAUGGUUGUCGUCAGCUCGUGUCGUGAGAUGUUGGGUUAAGUCCCGCAACGAGCGCAACCCUUAAGCUUAGUUGCCAUCAUUAAGUUGGGCACUCUAGGUUGACUGCCGGUGACAAACCGGAGGAAGGUGGGGAUGACGUCAAAUCAUCAUGCCCCUUAUGAUUUGGGCUACACACGUGCUACAAUGGACAAUACAAAGGGCAGCUAAACCGCGAGGUCAUGCAAAUCCCAUAAAGUUGUUCUCAGUUCGGAUUGUAGUCUGCAACUCGACUACAUGAAGCUGGAAUCGCUAGUAAUCGUAGAUCAGCAUGCUACGGUGAAUACGUUCCCGGGUCUUGUACACACCGCCCGUCACACCACGAGAGUUUGUAACACCCGAAGCCGGUGGAGUAACCAUUUAUGGAGCUA
rnacentral:rRNA from 1 species